GACGUCAAAUCAUCAUGCCCCUUAUGAUUUGGGCUACACACGUGCUACAAUGGACAAUACAAAGGGCAGCGAAACCGCGAGGUCAAGCAAAUCCCAUAAAGUUGUUCUCAGUUCGGAUUGUAGUCUGCAACUCGACUACAUGAAGCUGGAAUCGCUAGUAAUCGUAGAUCAGCAUGCUACGGUGAAUACGUUCCCGGGUCUUGUACACACCGCCCGUCACACCACGAGAGUUUGUAACACCCGAAGCCGGUGGAGUAACCAUUUUGGAGCUAGCCGUCGAAGGUGGGACAAAUGAUUGGGGUGAAGUCGUAACAAGGUAGCCGUAUCGGAAGGUGCGGCUGGAUCACCUCCUUU
rnacentral:rRNA from 1 species